rnacentral:tRNA from 1 species
GCCGACGUGGCGGAACGGAAUACGCGCUGGCCUUAGAAGUCAGUGCCUGAAAAGGCUUGCAGGUUCAAAUCCUGCCGUCGGCA